rnacentral:rRNA from 1 species
GGCCAGCGCUGUUCUCGGAUCACGAUUCGGCUCAGUGUUUGGUCAUCCGUAUGGGAAGCUAACUCGGCCUUCACUGGUCGGUUAGUGGAUCAUACACUUUACUUUGAAAAAAUUAGAGUGUUUCAGGCAGGCAAUUGCUUGGAUACUUCAGCAUGGAAUAAUGGAAUAGGACUUUGACCUAUUUGUUGGUUUCUUGAGGUCAAGGUA